GGAAGUAAAAGUCGUAACAAGGUUUCCGUAGGUGAACCUGCGGAAGGAUCAUUAUUGAAUGAACUUGGAGUCGGUUGUCGCUGGCUGUCUUAUUUGGCAGCAUGUGCACGCCUUCUCUUUUCAUCCACACACACCCCUGUGCACUUGUGAGACUGGAGACCGGUAAAAAUAAAAUAAAAGUCUUCAGUCUGCUAAAUCCAUAUACAAACCCAUUUAAUUGAACUGAAUGUAAAUUGAUGUAACGCAUCUUUAAACUAAGUUUCAACAACGGAUCUCUUGGCUCUCGCAUCGAUGAAGAACGCAGCGAAAUGCGAUAAGUAAUGUGAAUUGCAGAAUUCAGUGAAUCAUCGAAUCUUUGAACGCACCUUGCGCUCCUUGGUAUUCCUUGGAGCAUGCCUGUUUGAGUAUCAUGAAAUUCUCAAAGUAAACCUUUUGUUAAUUCAACUGGUCUUUGCUUUGGAUUUGGAGGCCUUUGCAGAUGUCACAGACUGCUCCUCUUAAAUAAAUUAGCUGGAUCUCAGUAUACACUUGGUUCCACUCGGCGUGAUAAGUAUCACUCGCUGAGGACACUGUUAAAAAGGUGGCCAGGCAAUGCAGAUGAACCGCUUCUAAUAGUCCAUUGACCUGGACAAAAUUAAAAACUUAUGAUCUGAUCUCAAAUCAGGUAGGACUACCCGCUGAACUUAAGCAUAUCAAUAAGCGGAGGA
rnacentral:rRNA from 1 species